UACGUAGGGUGCAAGCGUUGUCCGGAAUUAUUGGGCGUAAAGAGCUCGUAGGCGGUUUGUUGCGUCGGCUGUGAAAUCCCGAGGCUCAACCUCGGGUCUGCAGUCGAUACGAGCAAACUAGAGUGUUGCAGGGGAGACUGGAAUUCCUGGUGUAGCGGUGAAAUGCGCAGAUAUCAGGAGGAACACCUGCGGUGUAGGCGGCUUACUGGACGGUAACUGACGCUGAGGCACGAAAGCGUGGGUAGCAAACAGG
rnacentral:rRNA from 1 species